rfam:Carboxydothermus hydrogenoformans Z-2901, complete genome.
GCGGAUGAAGGCAGCAGGAGAGACCCGGUUUUUCGGGCGCCGAAGGAGUAAGCCUUUAAAGUGUUGCUUGGCUUUAAAGGUGAAACUCUCAGGCAAAAGGACUGUUGCCGGACGAAACUCUGGAGAGUCCCUUAAAGGGCACCCACGGGGAGUUUAAUCUCUCAGGUCAAAGGACAGAGGC